UACGGAAGGGGCAAGCGUUUGUUCGGAAUCAUUGGGCGUAAAGGGCGCGUAGGUGGUUCUGUAUGUCUAUCGUGAAAGCAUACAGCUCAACUGUAUUUUGUCGGUAGAAACUGCAGGACUUGAGGCUGGGAGGGGCUGGUGGAAUUCCCUGUGUAGCGGUGAAAUGCGUAGAGAUGGGGGAGAACACUCGUGGCGAAGGCGGCCAGCUAGACCAGUUCUGACACUGAGGCGCGACAGCGUGGGGAGCAAACAGG
rnacentral:rRNA from 1 species